rnacentral:rRNA from 1 species
AUUGAACGCUGGCGGCAUGCUUUACACAUGCAAGUCGAACGGUAACAGGCCGCAAGGUGCUGACGAGUGGCGAACGGGUGCGUAAUGCAUCGGAACGUGCCCAGUCGUGGGGGAUAACUACUCGAAAGAGUAGCUAAUACCGCAUACGAUCUAUGGAUGAAAGCGGGGGACCGUAAGGCCUCGCGCGAUUGGAGCGGCCGAUGUCAGAUUAGGUAGUUGGUGGAGUAAAGGCUCACCAAGCCAACGAUCUGUAGCUGGUCUGAGAGGACGACCAGCCACACUGGGACUGAGACACGGCCCAGACUCCUACGGGAGGCAGCAGUGGGGAAUUUUGGACAAUGGGCGCAAGCCUGAUCCAGCAAUGCCGCGUGCAGGAAGAAGGCCUUCGGGUUGUAAACUGCUUUUGUACGGAACGAAACGGCUCUGGUUAAUACCCGGGGCUAAUGACGGUACCGUAAGAAUAAGCACCGGCUAACUACGUG